rnacentral:rRNA from 1 species
CCCCUAGAUGUUCUGGGCCGCACGCGCGCUACACUGAACAGUUCAACAAGUCUUAACCUUGGCCGAUAGGUCUGGGUAAUCUUUGAACGCUGUUCGUGAUUGGGAUAGACCUUUGCAAUUAUGGGUCUUCAACGAGGAAUUCCUAGUAAACGCAAGUCACCAGCUUGCAUUGAUUACGUCCCAGCCCUUUGUACACACCGCCCGUCGCACCUACCGAUUGAAUGGUCCGGUGAAAUCUCGGGACGGCGGCUUGGUCGCUUGCGUCCGACUGCUGAAACUUGAUUAAACCAUAUCAUUUAGAGGAAGGUGAAGUCGUAACA